GUCAGAUUCCCUACAGAUCAUCCCAAUAUGACAUGAAAGAUCUAAGAGAGCAGCUCGGCGUGUCAAAACUUGACGCGAGCCGGGGUGGCGAUGAAAAGGAAGAGUUGGAUGAACUUUGAUAGACAUCAGAAAUCUGGGAAACAAAAACAAGGUCUAAUUCUGCCAAGAAAGAGGAAGGAUAAAAAAGGAAGGCCGUUUCUUUUGGAGAUUAUGCAAGCGUGUUUGGAUGGGAAGGAGUUCAGAUAAUAAUGAAACAAUUAAAGGCUUUAAGGGCUUGACUGGACUGAUUACCCGGUCACCACACCCCGAACCCUUUCCUUCACAUGAUGCCUCAGGCUACAACGCCACACCCCACGAAAGUGCUCCCCCUCCUGAGUGGGACGGUCUCUGUGCAGGUGGGACAGUUUGGCUGGCUCAGAACACUGCCGGGCUCCAGGGCUCUCUGCGGUCCGUUUUCCCACAGAGAAACAGAGUCUGACUGACAAAUAACAGGGCCCUGCCGGCCCUCGGGCUGAGAUAGGCCUCAUGGUUGGUAUCGGAAUCGGGAGAGCCGUGGAGAUCGGGACCGGGACUCAUGGACGUCCGCUCGAUGGGAGAGCCACAAUGUGGGCUGCUCUUCAAACGCCUGUCUAAUUUAGUCAUAUGACGCUGAGGCUAAACGUCCCAGACAACAAUAUGUCAUUUUAAUGUCAUUACAGAUGUUUUAUUCACAGAGUUCUGUGGUCGGGGCAGGGAUUGUGAGGACUGGGAGGGUUUUUCCAUCCUUUUCUUUUAAAAUUAAUUUCAUAUGUCGCAGUCUCGGUGUGCGGCCACGUCUUUCUAGUGUAAAGUAGCAGAAUGAUGCACUUCGUAUGCUCAUAAUGAACUGCAAAUUAAAGUACACCGUGACAGAGUUAAUAAGGACUGUUCUGUAUCAGAGUUAGAUACGGUGUGCACAGCUGAAAUGUCAAAUGUAUGUGAUUUGGUUGUUGUUGUUGCAUAAAAUAAGUGUCACAUUUACUUCAUUUAAAAAAAAUAGACAAACAUUUUUCUUUGACUGUUAUGUUAUUUGAGAAUUUUGGAUAUAAAU
ensembl:lncRNA